rnacentral:rRNA from 1 species
AUUGAACGCUGGCGGCAGGCCCAACACAUGCAAGUCGAGCGAGCGGCGGACGGGUGAGUAAUGUCUGGGAAACUGCCUGAUGGAGGGGGAUAACUACUGGAAACGGUAGCUAAUACCGCAUACCAUCAGAUGUGCCCAGAUGGGAUUAGCUAGUCGGUGGGGUAACGGCUCACCUAGGCGACGAUCCCUAGCUGGUCUGAGAGGAUGACCAGCGACACGGGAACUGAGACACGGUCCAGAAUCCGACGUGAGGCAGCAGUGGGGAAUAUGGCACAAUGGGCGCAAGCCUGAUACAGCCAUGCGGGGUGUAUGAAGGAGGCCUUCGGGUUGUAAAGUACUUUCGGCGGGGAGGCGUUACCCGCAGAAGAAGCACCGGCUAACUCCGUGCCGGCAGCCGCGGUAAUUC